rnacentral:rRNA from 1 species
GUCCCGGCCCUAAACGGUGCGCAUUUGCUGUGAGCGGAAUCGACCCCGCUCGUGGCGGAGCUAACGCGUUAAAUGCGCCGCCUGGGGAGUACGGCCGCAAGGUUAAAACUCAAAGAAAUUGACGGGGGCCUGCACAAGCGGUGGAGUAUGUGGCUUAAUUCGAUGCAACGCGAAGAACCUUACCUGGCCUUGACAUGCAAGUGGUAGAAGCCUGAAAGGGUAACGAUCCCGCAAGGGAAGCUUGCACAGGUGCUGCAUGGCUGUCGU